UACGGAGGGAGCUAGCGUUGUUCGGAAUUACUGGGCGUAAAGCGUACGUAGGCGGUUAUUCAAGUCAGAGGUGAAAGCCUGGAGCUCAACUCCAGAACUGCCUUUGAAACUAGAUAGCUAGAAUCUUGGAGAGGUGAGUAGAAUUCCGAGUGUAGAGGUGAAAUUCGUAGAUAUUCGGAAGAACACCAGUGGCGAAGGCGACUCACUGGACAAGUAUUGACGCUGAGGUACGAAAGCGUGGGGAGCAAACAGG
rnacentral:rRNA from 1 species